UGCAAACCCAAUCCAUGCAAGCAACUGGUGUCAUAUCAAAGAAGAUCACAUUUAAAAACCAACUAAGCUUAUCAUCAAAACUAAAAGCAUGAACAGCACAAAAAAUGAAGCCUUUCUAAACAAAUUAUAUUUGUAAAGCCAAAUAUAGAGGACGAUAAUGCUAUACAAACAGUAAAGUGAAUUUUACUUUUUCACAAAAAUUGUUAGACUCUCAAUCUGGUAUCAACAACAAAGAGAAACAAUACAGGUUACCAUCCAAUUCACUAGUUGACAACUUAAGA
rnacentral:misc_RNA from 1 species